rfam:Ictidomys tridecemlineatus contig076798, whole genome shotgun sequence.
GGCAUCGUAGCUCAGUGGUAGAGCGCUUACCUAGCAUGUGUGAGGCACUGGGUUUGAUCCUCAGCAACACUU